AAAUAGGAGUACCAAAUUUACGACUUUAACUUCAACAUCAUCUUAACUUUCCCUAAACAAAAAAAAAGGUACAUCUUUCAUUUUCCACCAACAAUUCUCUUCAAAAUAUCUUGAAGCUCAGCCUUCACAAUUCACCCACCUACUUCCCGGGCCAAAAUGCCGGGACCCGGUCCGCACAUGAUGUACGCCCUUGGUUCGGGCCUGGGUCUGAUGGUUGCAUCCAACGGUAGGUUCAGCCCGCAUCAUUGCUUAUGUUACGCUCUCAACGCCUUUUUUGGGCCGGACAUCGGGUCCUUCACCGAGUGGCUAACCUCCAUCGUUGGAUUUGGGGACUCCAUGGGGUCUGACGUAGCUGAUGUCAUCCACCACCCUUUGUACUACGUCGUUUUGUUAAGUAUGCCACUCUCUUUCCUCUAUUCCUGGGCUUCUCGAGUUGCCCUCCGGAAGGGUAUUCUUGAUUCCAUUUCUGGGGUUCCCCUCUCUAGGCCACAAUGCUUUCUUCUGAUUUCAGCUGGUUCUCUAUCACAUUUUUUCCUAGAUCACUUAUUUGAGUUGUGUAGGAAAAUGGGAAAACUUCUGUAUAUACAUGGAUAUUGAGCACUGGCUGGUGGACGAGUCGUGCCCCUAUCAACCCAGACGCCGUGAUGGUGAUUAGCUUAUUAUGCACCGGGUUAAUUGUUGGUUUUAUAUACAUCAAUAGAGUAAGACCUUCCAAAUCCAUAAAAACACAGUACAAUCAAUCUAUAAAACUGGUAAUGAUCAUAGCAUCUUUGUACUGCUUAUGGUGCGCAACCCAGAUUUAUGUGGUACAACCUCGUCGACCAGCUGUUGGUGAGGAAGCUGAUCUGGGUGUUCUUGUGUUCUUAUUCAUUUACUUUUUCACCCCUCACUCUUUGUGCAUUUUGUCCAUGAACAACCCCAAAGAUAAUUAUCAUGAUGUAGUGGAACAACUUCCCUUAUAGGAAUAUGUAAGAUUAUUCUCAGAGUAGAAUGUAGAAGAAAUCCAUAUUUGAGUAGGUUGUAAACCUGAUUGGCUGAUUGUAGUUUGAUUUGGUGGUUGAUGUGCCUUCUAGGCUUCUACGACA